rnacentral:tRNA from 1 species
GGUAGGGUGGCCGAGUCAGCAGGCAGCGAGUUGUAGCCUCGCGCACGAGGGCAGACCCCUCCACUACCA